AGCGAACGUUAGCGGCAGGCUUAACACAUGCAAGUCGCGCGAGAAAAGGGCUUCGGCCCCCAGUAAAGCGGCGGACGGGUGCGUAACACGUGGGUAAUGUGCCCUUCAGCGGGGGACAACAGUCCGAAAGGAUUGCUAAUACCGCAUACGUCGUCGGGACCUUCGGGCCCUGACGGGAAAGGGCGCCUCUCCAUGGAAGGUACCACUGCAGGAGCCGCCCGCGGCCCAUCAGCUAGUUGGCGGGGUAACGGCCCACCAAGGCUAAGACGGGUAGCAGGUCUGAGAGGAUGAUCAGCCACACUGGAACUGAGACACGGUCCAGACUCCUACGGGAGGCAGCAGUGGGGAAUAUUGGGCAAUGGGCGCAAGCCUGACCCAGCCAUGCCGCGUGAGUGAUGAAGGUCUUCGGAUCGUAAAGCUCUGUGGGGAGGGACGAACCCCCUCGGUGCUAACACCACCGAGGCUUGACGGUACCUCCUUAGCAAGCACCGGCUAACUCUGUGCCAGCCGCCGCAGUAACAC
rnacentral:rRNA from 1 species